UACAGAGGUCUCAAGCGUUGUUCGGAUUCAUUGGGCGUAAAGGGUGCGUAGGCGGCGCGGUAAGUCGGGUGUGAAAUCUUGGAGCUUAACUCCGAAACUGCAUUCGAUACUGCCGUGCUCGAGUACUGGAGAGGAGACUGGAAUUUACGGUGUAGCAGUGAAAUGCGUAGAUAUCGUAAGGAAGACCAGUGGCGAAGGCGAGUCUCUGGACAGUUACUGACGCUGAGGCACGAAGGCCAGGGGAGCAAACGGG
rnacentral:rRNA from 1 species